UUUUUUUAAAAAAAUCCAACUCCAAAGCUGAAUGCUGGCGCGUCCUUCUCCUUCACAAAUCACACUCUCAGAGUAACAAUUCACUCCUUGUCUCCAUUGUCUGUUUCCUAAAUCCUAAACGUCGAAGAACUCUGCUCUGUAGCCCUCGCCUUCGUCUUCUCCUUCAGAUCGUCGCCAGCGCCGUUCCUGUCAUGCAGAAGUGCAGAUCGUGGAAGCUAGCACCUCGCGCCUGAGGGCGAGCUCGAACCUUGAAAUCUGUUCGAUCUCCGGUCUCCACACUCCAGACUCCAGUUGCUGUCCAGAUCGUCUCUUGAUCGUCUUUCGUCUCCUGUUCGAAUUUUGAACCCAGUCCCAAAUCACCAUUCGAAUAGAAGGUACUUCGACUGAGCGACGGAGCUUGAGUGCUUGACAAUCGCUCGACUGUGUGUGACGAGCUUGACGAUCGUUGUUUGACUGUGCUGCGUGUGACUAGCAGAGUGUAUGCAUCUCUCCUUCUCAGUUUGUGACCGUGUUCAACUUAGUCUUUCCUUCUCAAUCUCUCUCGGUUCGUGAUAACCACUAACCAGUGUUAGGAUAUUGCAUCAUGGUACCAGAAUGACUCUAUCCAACUAUUUGGCAACUAUCAAAUUUUUAUCCCUUGAUUAUGUCAGUUGUGGAGCUGCUGAUGCUGGUCUUGCUCGAUCAUUUUGCAAAACCUCAUUUGACCAGAAGCAAUGGUCUCCAUGCCUCUUCUUUAGUUGUGGUCAACCUUGCUUAGCAAACAAUUCCAAGUGAGUAGGCAGCAAUAUAUGCUUGUGUUAGUUUUAUCUUGCAGGGCAACUGAGACAUGUUUAACGAGAUCACUAUAAUCAAUUAAUGCAUAGGUGC